CCUACGGGGUGCAGCAGUGGGGAAUAUUGCACAAUGGGGGAAACCCUGAUGCAGCGACGCCGCGUGAGUGAAGAAGUCAUUCGUUAUGUAAAGCUCUAUCAGCAGGGAAGAAAAUGACGAUACCUGAGUACGAAGCCCUGGCUAACUACGUGCCAGCAGCCGCGGUAAUACGUAGGGGGCAAGCGUUAUCCGGAUUUACUGGGUGUAAGGGGAGCGUAGACGGCAGGGCAAGUCUGGAGUGAAAGGCGGGGGCUCAACCCCCGGACUGCUCUGGAAACUGUACGGCUGGAGUGCAGGAGAGGUGAGUAGAAUUCCUAGUGUAGCGGUGAAAUGCGUAGAGAUUAGGAGGAACACCAGUGGCGAAGGCGGCUUACUGGACUGGAACUGACGUUGAGGCUCGAAAGCGUGGGGAGCAAACAGGAUUAGAUACCCUUGUAGUC
rnacentral:rRNA from 1 species